rnacentral:rRNA from 1 species
AUACGUAGGGGGCGAGCGUUGUCCGGAAUGAUUGGGCGUAAAGGGCGCGUAGGCGGCCUGUUAAGUCUGGAGUGAAAGUCCUGUUUUCAAGGUGGGAAUUGCUUUGGAUACUGCCGCGCUUGAGUGCAGGAGAGGUUAUCGGAAUUCCCGGUGUAGCGGAGAAAUGCGUAGAGAUCGGGAGGAACACCAGUGGCGAAGGCGGGUAACUGGACUGCAACUGACGCUGAGGCGCGAAAGUGUGGGGAGCAAACAGGAUUAGAUACCCUGGUAGUCCACACUGUAAACGAUGAAUGCUAGGUGUAAGAGGUAUCGACCCCUUUUGUGCCGGAGUCAACACAAUAAGCAUUCCGCCUGGGGAGUACGGCCGCAAGGUUGAAACUCAAAGGAAUUGACGGGG